rnacentral:rRNA from 1 species
AACGCGAAAGGGGCUUCGGCCCUGAGUAGAGUGGCGAACGGGUGAGUAACACGUGGGUGAUCUACCUUCGAGUGGGGGAUAACGUCCCGAAAGGGACGCUAAUACCGCAUGACGUUCUGGGUUUAAAGACCUGGAAACCAAAGCCGGGGACCGCAAGGCCUGGCGCUUGAAGAGGAGCCCGCGUCCGAUUAGCUAGUUGGCGGGGUAAUGGCCCACCAAGGCGACGAUCGGUAGCCGGCCUGAGAGGGCGGACGGCCACACUGGAACUGAGACACGGUCCAGACUCCUACGGGAGGCAGCAGUGGGGAAUUGUUCACAAUGGGCGCAAGCCUGAUGACGCAACGCCGCGUGGGGGAUGAAGGUCUUCGGAUUGUAAACCCCUGUCGAAUGGGACGAAAGACCCGGGAGCUAAUCAUCCCGGGAGUGACGGUACCGUUAAAGGAAGCCACGGCUAACUCUGUGCCAGCAGCCGCGGUAAUACAGAGGUGGCAAGCGUUGUUCGGAAUUACUGGGCGUAAAGGGCGCGUAGGCGGCCAUCUAAGUCAGACGUGAAAUCCCCCGGCUUAACCUGGGAACUGCGUCUGAUACUGGACGGCUUGAGUAUGGGAGAGGGAUGUAGAAUUCCAGGUGUAGCGGUGAAAAUGCGUAAAUUUCUGGAGGAAUACCGGUGGCGAAGGCGGCAUCCUGGAACCAUUACUGACGCUGAGGCGCGAAAGC